GUGGUUCUGACCCAUCAGGUAUUAAAGUAACAACAAAGUCCACCAAGUCUAUUCAUGUUGCAUGGGAUACAACAAAUACAAACUGUGGUUACACUAUAACUGGAUAUACCGUUUAUUUCAACAGCUUAUCACCAGUCACGAAUUACAAAUCUAAAGUUGUUUCAGGGGCAACAACUAACAAUGUGGAAAUAUUCCCUAUUGUAGCAGGAUUUUCUUAUAAUAUAUUUGUGAAGGCUGUUACGGCAAACGGGAUAGUAUCAAAUCCGACUUCUAUUAAUUAUACACAUCCACACGCUCGUCCGAGUUCUGCGCCUAGUAAUAUUCAUGCAUCUGUACAAGAAGCUACAUCAGUAACACUGUGCUGGGAUGCAGUAAACGUUUUUACCAAGAAUGGAGACAUCAGAGGAUACAAGAUUUAUUAUCGAGGUCCUGGGCUUCCAGGUACGAAAAGUGCAAACAUCCUCGGUGAAGCUAAUCGUCAAUAUACUAUAACUGGCUUGAAGCCAAAUAUUACAUACCAGUUUAUUGUACAAGUCAUUAAUGAUGUUGGACCUGGUCCUUAUAGUUCAUUAAUA